GGAUGCGAUCAUACUAGCACUAAAGCACCGGAUCCCAUCAAAACUCCGAAGUUAAGCGUGCUUGGGCGAGAGUAGUACUAGGAUGGGUGACCUCCUGGGAAGUCCUCGUGUUGCAUUCC
rfam:Triticum aestivum genome assembly, contig: Triticum_aestivum_CS42_TGACv1_scaffold_402844_5AS